rnacentral:rRNA from 1 species
AGGGUUUGAUCAUGGCUCAGAACGUACGCUGGCGGCACGCCUAAUACAUGCAAGUCGAACGAAGUAGCAAUACUUAGUGGCAGACGGGUGAGUAACAUGUGGGUAUCUUCCCUUUGGUGAGGAAUAACACGAGGAAACUUGUGCUAAUACCUCAUAAGUCUUUACGGAGAAAGCUUUAUGCGCCAAUGGAUGAGCCCGCACUUGAUUAGUUUGUUGGUGAGGUAAUGGCUCACCAAGACUUUGAUCAAUAGCUGAUUUGAGAGGAUGAUCAGCCACAUUGGGACUGAGACACGGCCCAAACUCCUACGGGAGGCAGCAGUAGGGAAUCUUGCACAAUGGGGGAAACCCUGAUGCAGCGAUGCCGCGUGAGUGAAGAAGGCCUUUGGGUUGUAAAGCUCUUUCGUCGGGGAAGAAAAUGACUGUACCCGAAUAAGAAGGUCCGGCUAACUUCGUGCCAGCAGCCGCGGUAAUACGAAGGGACCUAGCGUAGUUCGGAAUUACUGGGCUUAAAGAGUUCGUAGGUUGUUAAAAAAGUUGGUGGUGAAAUCCCAGAGCUUAACUCUGGAACUGCCAUCAAAACUUUUUAGCUAGAGUUUGAUAGAGGAAAGCAGAAUUUCUAGUGUAGAGGUGAAAUUCGUAGAUAUUAGAAAGAAUACCAAUUGCGAAGGCAGCUUUCUGGAUCAUUACUGACACUGAGGAACGAAAGCAUGGGUAGCGAAGAGGAUUAGAUACCCUCGUAGUCCAUGCCGUAAACGAUGUGUGUUAGACGUUGGAAAUUUAUUUUCAGUGUCACAGCGAAAGCAAUAAACACACCGCCUGGGGAGUACGACCGCAAGGUUAAAACUCAAAUGAAUUGACGGGGACCCGCACAAGUAGUGGAGCAUGUGGUUUAAUUCGAAGAUACGCGCAGAACCUUACCAACACUUGACAUGUUCGUCGCGACUUUAAGAGAUUAAAGUUUUCGGUUCGGCCGGACGAAACACAGGUGCUGCAUGGCUGUCGUCAGCUCGUGUCGUGAGAUGUUGGGUUAAGUCCCGCAACGAGCGCAACCCUCACUUUUAGUUGCCAUCAUUUAGUUGGGCACUCUGAAAGAACUGCCAGUGAUAAGCUGGAGGAAGGUGGGGAUGACGUCAAGUCCUCAUGGCCCUUACGUGUUGGGCUACACACGUGCUACAAUGGCAUUUACAACAGGAAGCAAAACGGCGACGUUAAGCAAAUCCUAAAAAAAUGCCUCAGUUCGGAUUGUACUCUGCAACUCGAGUACAUGAAGCUGGAAUUACUAGUAAUCGCGGAUCAGCGCGCCGCGGUGAAUACGUUCCCGGGUCUUGUACACACCGCCCGUCACACCAUGGGAGUUGGUUCUACCUUAAGGCAAAGGUUAAAAACUUUGACCACGGUAUAGUCAGCGACUGGGGUGAAGUCAUAACAAGGUAGCCGUA